CCAAGCCCGGGCUCUUUCCACUGGGCCAGGCUGCUACUCGGAUGAGCUUGCAGUCUAGAGGAUGGGCUAUUCUUGUACAAUUGGACAGUGUGUUGCUGGCUCGCUGGGUACCCUUACAAAAACAUCCUUCUACUCUGUAAGCUCAUCCCCCAAACCGUAAGCUCGUUGCGGGCAGGGAGUGGAUCCGUUUUCUUGUUAUGUUGUACUCUCCCAAGCACUGAGUGCUCCGCACACAGUAAGUGCUCAAUAAACACAAUCGCUUGAUCCAACAAAUAUCUUCCAAAGACGUACAUGCUCCUGGGUAAUGAGAAACGUCUUUCUCCAGGAACUUUACAAAGCAGCUCGUGACUUGUCGCAGACACAUAGGACCACAUAAUUAUCUACAAUUUACAGUGGACCCCACGGAUGCAGAUGGGCCAUCAGCCUUUUUGAAAUGGAAUAGCGUUCCACCGAUCGAAAUCGAUAGAGCAAUUUACUGGGACUCUGGCACGGGUCUAAUUAGAACCCAUAUUUUCUCAGGGUCAUCUAAUGCAGUACCUAUAAUUUGAAUAUAGUUUAUGUUUAUUGUGCAUUCAUCCCUCACUAAUAAUAAGCAAUGAGAAUUUCUCCUUACCAUGGUUCACAUUCAUACGGGAAAAGUUUCAUCACUUAAGAAUCGUGUAUAAUUAAAUCUUCUAUUCAUCCUCACCAUCUUUUUCACAUCCCUGAGCCCCAGCGGAUUCUGAAGCCACCGAUGCCCCGCAACGGAACAGAGGAAACCUCGUUCGGAUGGCAGGUCGUAAUGUCUCCGCAUGACCCUGAACACAGACUAAACAGAUCAAGUCACGUCUACCGCUCUACCUUCAGCUGGUAUUCUUCGUAGCACGGCCGGCCACUGGGUGAUAUUCCCCCAUCGCAGUUCAUCGGUCCAUGAAAGUUAUUGAACGCUCACCGUGCGCAGAGCAUCGUACUAAGCGCUUGGGAGAGUACAAUGUACGAGAUGAAUGACAAGUGCCCUGCCUUCAACGAGCUUACGGUCUAGAAGGAAAGAAGAGUCUAGACCUCUAGGGAUUUAAGGCACAGCAGCACACGGGGCUCUUUCCACCAGAGGACGAGUGAAAUUGAAACAGCCGUAGCACAAAGCCUCUACCCACGCAGGUCCUCUUAACCCCCAGACCCGUUGGAUUCCGAACCUUUAGCUGACUUUUAUGCUGUUUUAUAUUUAGAUUAUUUCAUCCUUCCUACAGUCUGUCAACAAAUCCUUAUCCACUUUAUUUUUAGAUUGGAAGGACCUCUCCCUGUGCAUUUACCCCCCAGAACUUAGCACGUUGUUCUUCAACCAGUAAGAUCUUAAUAAACACUUUAACUACAACUCAUUUGAUUCUCCAGAACUAGGCCUCUGCCUGCCCAUCAGACUCUGAAAGCCUGCUGGAAUCUCCAUCCCAGGACAGAUCAUGGAAAGACUAUUUUAUGUGUGUUCUUUGCUGUUGUUUGGGAAAAUAAGUUUCUUUCACGUA